AACCAUUGAAGAGGGAGAAAAUUGCAGAGGAGGAGAGAUUUAACUGAAGAAGCCAGUAGAAUGGUCAGUGGGAUAUCAGCAACUCCAACAAAAAUUAUCUUCGUAAGAGCCGCUUACACAUUAGAGAUAAGGAUUCACUAAUUUCUUCAAAAGUAAAUAUUCUCGUUUAUUCUAACUUCCAAAGAAGAAGAAUAACUUCAAAUGUCAAUUGUGUUUGGAUACCGGUGCUAAGAUGUAAACUGACUGUGCUUGAUCCACUCCAAAGAGGACAGCUGGAUAAUCCCCACAGACAGGAAGGAUUACUGACUCACCAGAAAUACACAGGCACGGGGACAGCAGUGGGUUCCAAUUGCUAGCUAUGUGAACGAUCUCCCCAGGUAGCUGUCUCACAGGAUCAAUCUAUCGAUUCUCACUGCACGGGGUAAAGAGGAAACCACCGGAUCAGCCCACAGCUGCUGUAGGAGUGAGAGAUUGGUUCGAGAGAUACAAGUCAGAAAGCUUAACCUGAAACAUUGAAUUCAUCAAAUUCUACAGUAGGCUAUACAUUUAUAGAAGACGACAGAACUCUUCCAUCAAAAGAGAAUAUGAUCCAGUGCCCAGAUCUCAGUUUCUAAUACCAUUCUCCAAUAGAAGGUACCAAAACUCCUUGGAUAAAUGGGCAAUUUUAGAGCUGGGGCAUGGAAUAUACAAGAUAAACCUGGAGUAUUUUGUAGUGGCAGAAACUAAGGAAUUGCUCAAAAUACAAAAUGAUGAGUAUAUGCCAAAAGGACACAGAAGCCAGCUGAAAGAGCCCCUAAUGUCAAACCAGAACAAGGUGACUAACAACAUAAAUAAUGUAAUAUUGACUUAUACCCCCAAGUAUAAAAUAAAGCCCAUACUGAUAUAAGCAAGGGAUAGAAUAAAAAAUAAAUAAGGGAGAAGAGAUGAAUCUCCCAUACAGGAGAAUUUCAAAUAAUUAAUGUAAAUACUUGCCCCUCUACUCCUUAAUUAUGGACUAUGCUUAGUGACUUGCUUACAAAGAGUACAGUAUGGAAAGGGGGAAAAAUAACUUUACAGAGGAGAAUUCUGGCAAACACACCCUUAGGUAUUUGAUUAAGGUUAAUAUCAUCAGUGAUAAGUCACGUGUGGAUCACAUAUGCCCUUGAU